rnacentral:rRNA from 1 species
GGGGGAUAACGGGGUGCGGGACAUCGGGGGCAACCUCCCACCCGUGUUGCCCGAACCUAUGUUGCCUCGGCGGGCCCCGCGCCCGCCGACGGCCCCCCUGAACGCUGUCUGAAGUUGCAGUCUGAGACCUAUAACGAAAUUAGUUAAAACUUUCAACAACGGAUCUCUUGGUUCCGGCAUCGAUGAAGAACGCAGCGAAAUGCGAUAACUAAUGUGAAUUGCAGAAUUCAGUGAAUCAUCGAGUCUUUGAACGCACAUUGCGCCCUCUGGUAUUCCGGAGGGCAUGCCUGUCCGAGCGUCAUUGCUGCCCUCAAGCCCGGCUUGUGUGUUGGGCCCCGUCCCCCCCGCCGGGGGGACGGGCCCGAAAGGCAGCGGCGGCACCGCGUCCGGUCCUCGAGCGUAUGGGGCUUCGUCACCCGCUCUAGUAGGCCCGGCCGGCGCCAGCCGACCCCCAACCUUUAAUUAUCUCAGGUUGACCUCGGAUCAGGUAGGGAUACCCGCUGAACUUAAGCAUAUCAUAAGCCGGGAGGAAGCG